GAUGUGGCAGGAGGAGUUUGUGGCUAGGCUAUGGCUGGGCUAUUGCUGGGCUAUAACCACUGUGGAUGCUCUAACCGACGUUGGAAAAACCGUGUUCCCCAAAUCUCUCCAUGAAUCUCUCCCAAUUUUAAACCAUCAAUCAGCUGCCAUCUCUCUAUAAUGCUCCUUGAGCAAAUCAAACUCAUAGAAAGAAAAAAAUUGAACAGAGGAGAGGCAGAAAGUUGGAUCGACUGCUCCCAAGCCACACACUUUUCAAUCCAUUGCUAGUCUCCAUUACUAAUCUGACCAGAGAAACCGAGGGAAAGGAAGAUAAAAGCCACAACCUCUUUUGUUUACAGCUACUCGUCCCAAAUUGUUGAAGGUGAAUCAUCGCAAGUGAAUCGUGAUACCAAGAGGAAGAAAGUACUUGAGAAUUAAGCAGUCGAGGUUGAGCGGCGACGAGAAUAUGGUGGUGUUGAGCAAGUUAAUUGGAGAAUGAAUUGUCUAUCUUUGAUCUGUGACUAGUGUCAUUGUGUCUUCACACAUAACUUUACUCUUCUCUUGGAUGCUUCCGCUGAAACAUGUUUUACUUAUUGUUUGAUCUUGACACCAUUUUGAGUUCCGUUUAGAAUCUAAAGACAUGAUACAUUUUGGAGUACGUUGAACCCUUGUUAUUUUGAAUACCAAUGAUUAUAAUUAUUUUCUCGUUUGGUCUAUC